GAAGAGAAGAGUUUGAUCCUGGCUCAGAUUGAACGCUGGCGGCACGCCUAACACAUGCAAGUCGAACGGCAGCACGGGGUAGAUUUAUCUAUCUGGGUGGCGAGUGGCGGACGGGUGAGUAACGCGUAGGAAUAUGCCUUUAAGACUGGGAUAGCCUUGGGAAACUGAGGGUAAUACCGGAUGAGCUCUGAGCCGAAGAGAUUUGGGUCAAAGGAAAGCUGGGGACUUUAGGGCCUGGCGCUUAAAGAAUAGCCUGCGUCCGAU
rfam:Legionellales bacterium RIFCSPHIGHO2_12_FTLL_42_9 rifcsphigho2_12_scaffold_3408, whole genome shotgun sequence.